rnacentral:rRNA from 1 species
GCUGGCAACAGCGAUAAGGGAACCUCGAGUGCCAGGUUACAAAUCUGGCUGUCGAGAUGCCUAAAAAGCAUUUCAUAGCAAGGGCCGGGCAAGACCGGUGCCAGCCGCCGCGGUAACACCGGCGGCUCGAGUGGUAACCGUUAUUAUUGGGUCUAAAGGGUCUGUAGCCGGCCGGAUAAGUCUCUUGAGAAAUCCAGCAGCUCAACUGUUGGGCUUUCAGGAGAUACUGUUCGGCUCGAGGCCGGGAGAGGUGAGAGGUACUUCAGGGGUAGGGGUGAAAUCUUGUAAUCCUUGAAGGACCACCAGUGGCGAAGGCGUCUCACCAGAACGGACCUGACGGCAAGGGACGAAAGCUAGGGGCACGAACCGGAUUAGGUACCCGGGUAGUCCUAGCCGUAAACGAUACUCGCUAGGUGUCGGCCACGGUGCGACCGUUGUCGGUGCCGUAGGGAAGCCGUGGAGCGAGCCACCUGGGAAGUACGGCCGCAAGGCUGAAACUUAAAUGAAUUGACGG